rnacentral:rRNA from 1 species
GACGAACCACACGAACGUUAUUCGGAAUUACUGGGCUUAAAGGGUGCGUAGGCUGUGCGGAAAGUUAGGUGUGAAAUCCCCCGGCUCAACCGGGGAAUUGCGCUUAAAACUACCGUGCUAGAGGAAUACAGAGGUGAGCGGAACUUCGGGUGGAGCGGUGAAAUGCGUAGAUAUCUGGAGGAAUACCGGUGGCGAAGGCGGCAUCCUGGACCGACAUUGACGCUGAGGAGCGAAAGCUAGGGGAGCAAACGGG